rnacentral:rRNA from 1 species
UAGGGAAUAUUAGAAAUGGACGAAAGUCUGAUCUAGCAACACCGCGUGUGCGAAGAAGGCCUUCGGGUUGUAAAGCACUUUUUGGAAGGAUUAUGAAGGAAUGUACUUCCAGAAUAAGUCUCGGCUAACUACGUGCCAGCAGCCGCGGUAACACGUAGGAGGCAAACGUUAUCCGGAUUUACUGGGCGUAAAGCGCGUGUAGGUGGUUCUGUAGGUAGGGCGUGAAAGCUCCUGGCUCAACUGGGAGAGGCCGUUCUAAACUGCAGAGCUAGAGGAUGGUAGAGGGAGGUGGAAUUCCGGGUGUAGCGGUGGAAUGCGCAGAUAUCCGGAGGAACACAAGUGGCGAAAGCGGCCUCCUGGACCAUUCCUGACACUCAGACGCGAAAGCUAGGGUAGCAAACG